GCUGGGGCAAGUCGAAUCCACCACUUCCUCAAUUGUCUCCUCUGCAGUCACGUGCCGGUGGCUGUCUGAUCUCGUGUCUCCAGUGAGACUGUACAUGACCACAAAGUCAUUUAUCGGAAAGACGAGAAAGCCAGAAAAUGUCGAGUACUGCCAUCCCCCGACCAGGUUGCCCUUCUCCAAUUUCAGGUACACUUGGAGGAGUGUUAAGAGAAGAACACUAUAGACGGCGAAAAUCCUCGGCAGGCUCACGUUCAAAGCACGCGGGCCCUCUUGAAGUCGUGGAUGAACUGACAGAUGAAGCCAAAGAGCUCCUGAGAGUCCUGGUCGGCCAUCUCUCCAAACUUCACCUUGCAGAAAGAGAAAACACACACGGUAACUUGCUUGCAAGGACACACGCACAUACUUGGA